rnacentral:rRNA from 1 species
GAUGAACGCUAGCGGCAGGCCUAAUACAUGCAAGUCGAGGGAGAAUGUUGGAUUCGUCUGACAUGAAACCGGCGCACGGGUGCGAAACACGUAUGCAACCUACCUUUAACUGGGGUAUAGCUCAGAGAAAUCUGAAUUAAUCCCCCAUAAGACUACGACAUGGCAUCAUGAUGUAGUUAAAGCUCCGGCGGUUAAGGAUGGGCAUGCGGUACAUUAGCUAGUUGGUGAGGUAAUGGCUCACCAAGGCUACGAUGUAUAGGGGGUCUGAGAGGAUGAUCCCCCACACUGGUACUGAGACUCGGACCAGACUUCUACGGGAGGCAGCAGUAGGGAAUAUGGGUCAAUGGACGCAAGUCUGAACCAGCCAUGCCGCGUGAAGGAUGAAGGCCCUAUGGGUCGUAAACUUCUUUUAUUAGGGAAGAAAAAACGGGAUGCGUCCUGUACUGACGGUACUUAAUGAAUAAGGAUCGGCUAACUUCGUGCCAGCCGCCGCGGUAA